rnacentral:rRNA from 1 species
UACGAAGGGGGCUAGCGUUGCUCGGAUUUACUGGGCGUAAAGGGCGCGUAGGCGGACGAUUUAGUCAGAGGUGAAAGCCCGGGGCUCAACCCCGGAAUUGCCUUUGAUACUGGUCGUCUUGAGUUUGGGAGAGGUAUGCGGAACUCCGAGUGUAGAGGUGAAAUUCGUAGAUAUUCGGAAGAACACCAGUGGCGAAGGCGGCAUACUGGCCCAAUACUGACGCUGAGGCGCGAAAGCGUGGGGAGCAAACAGG